rnacentral:rRNA from 1 species
GAUGAACGCUGGCGGCGUGCUUAACACAUGCAAGUCGAACGGAAAGGCUCCUGCUUGCAGGGGUACUCGAGUGGCGAACGGGUGAGUAACACGUGGGUGAUCUGCCCUGCACUUCGGGAUAAGCCUGGGAAACUGGGUCUAAUACCGGAUAGGACGAUGGUUUGGAUGCCAUUGUGGAAAGUUUUUUCGGUGUGGGAUGAGCUCGCGGCCUAUUAGCUUGUUGGUGGGGUAAUGGCCUACCAAGGCGUCGACGGGUAGCCGGCCUGAGAGGGUGUACGGCCACAUUGGGACUGAGAUACGGCCCAGACUCCUACGGGAGGCAGCAGUGGGGAAUAUUGCACAAUGGGCGCAAGCCUGAUGCAGCGACGCCGCGUGGGGGAUGACGGCCUUCGGGUUGUAAACUCCUUUCGCUAGGGACGAAGCGCAAGUGACGGUACCUGGAGAAGAAGCACCGGCUAACUACGUG